GGCCCCUAAUCGGGGUUCGGGACAGUGCCUGGUGGGUAGUUUGACUGGGGCGGUCUCCUCCCAAAGAGUAACGGAGGAGCACGAAGGUUGGCUAAGUACGGUUGGACAUCGUACGGUUAGUGCAAUGGCAUAAGCCAGCUUAACUGCGAGACAUACACGUCGAGCAGGUACGAAAGUAGGUCAUAGUGAUCCGGUGGUUCUGUAUGGAAGGGCCAUCGCUCAACGGAUAAAAGGUACUCCGGGGAUAACAGGCUGAUACCGCCCAAGAGUUCAUAUCGACGGCGGUGUUUGGCACCUCGAUGUCGGCUCAUCACAUCCUGGGGCUGAAGUCGGUCCCAAGGGUAUGGCUGUUCGCCAUUUAAAGUGGUACGCGAGCUGGGUUCAGAACGUCGUGAGACAGUUCGGUCCCUAUCUGCCGUGGGCGUUGGAUGAUUGAAGGAAGCUGCUCCUAGUACGAGAGGACCGGAGUGGACGAACCGCUGGUGUUCGGGUUGUUAUGCCAAUAGCAUUGCCCGGUAGCUACGUUCGGAAUCGAUAACCGCUGAAAGCAUCUAAGCGGGAAGCGAGUCCUAAGAUGAGUCAUCCCUAGGAAUUUAAUUCCUCUAAAGAGCCGUUCGAGACUAGGACGUUGAUAGGCAGGGUGUGUAAGCGUUGUGAGGCGUUGAGCUAACCUGUACUAAUGACUCGUGAGGCUUAACCAU
rfam:Shewanella sp. P1-14-1 AN944_contig000075, whole genome shotgun sequence.